CCUACGGGGGGCAGCAGUGGGGGAUAUUGCACAAUGGGGGAAACCCUGAUGCAGCGACGCCGCGUGGGCGAAGAAGUAUUUCGGUAUGUAAAGCCCUAUCAGCAGGGAAGAACAAUGACGGUACCUGACUAAGAAGCACCGGCUAAAUACGUGCCAGCAGCCGCGGUAAUACGUAUGGUGCAAGCGUUAUCCGGAUUUACGGGGGGUAAAGGGAGCGCAGGCGGCGCGUUAAGGCUGGUGUGAAAGCCCGCGGCCCAACCGCGGGACUGCAGUGGGAACUGGCGCGCUGGAGUGCCGGAGGAGUAGGCGGAAUGCGUAGUGUAGCGGUGAAAUGCGUAGAUAUUAGGAAGAACACCGGUGGCGAAGGCAGCCUACUGGACGGUGACUGACGCUGAGGCUCGAAAGCGUGGGGAGCAAACAGGAUUAGAUACCCCAGUAGUC
rnacentral:rRNA from 1 species